UACGUAGGGUGCGAGCGUUGUCCGGAAUUAUUGGGCGUAAAGGGCUCGUAGGCGGUCUGUUGCGUCAGGAGUGGAAACUCGGGGCUUAACCCCGAGCCUGCUUCUGAUACGGGCAGACUAGAGGUAUGCAGGGGAGAACGGAAUUCCUGGUGUAGCGGUGAAAUGCGCAGAUAUCAGGAGGAACACCGGUGGCGAAGGCGGUUCUCUGGGCAUUACCUGACGCUGAGGAGCGAAAGUGUGGGGAGCGAACAGG
rnacentral:rRNA from 1 species